UCCAAAUACUUGAGCCAAGGCUGCUUGAGCUCUCUUCCUGAGCCUGCAUACACAGACCGUGGGGACGGUGGUGCACUGCUGCCAGCUGAGCUACUGCCUUCAUUACCGUUGUUCGUCGCCGAAAUACUCGGUGCUCGAGCAACGCGCACUGCUGACAGUGAUCGCUGACGUACUUUGCCGCUUUCCGCUGUAAACACAAAGUUGAUAAUGAAGCCUAUCUCGAAGGUGAACACCAAUAUGCGCGAUAGCGUGACGGCAAGUGGUCGACUGACGAUGACGCUGCGAUAUCGAGCUACAGGUCUCACCAAGUCAGCAACCGGCGUAUACCUAGGUCAAAUUAUUCCUGUUGCUGCGACCGGAACCAAUCUGUGACAGCUGCCUUCACUUCAACGUUCGAGAGAAACUUGCGACCCUUUAGGGCCUUUUUUAAGGGACCAAGGACACGAAACUCAU